rnacentral:rRNA from 1 species
GUAACACGUGGAUAACCUACCCAAGAGUCCGGGAUAACCCCGGGAAACUGGGGAUAAUACCGGAUAGAUCAAACUUGCUGGAAGGCUGUUUGGUUGAAACUUCCGGGGCUUUUGGAUGGGUCUGCGGCUGAUUAGGUUGUUGCCGGUGUAACGUACCGUCAAGCCUGUAAUCAGUACGGGUUGUGGGAGCAAGAGCCCGGAGAUGGAUUCUGAGACACGAAUCCAGGCCCUACGGGGCGCAGCAGGCGCGAAAACUCUACAAUGCAGGCAACUGCGAUAGGGGAACAUCGAGUGGUACUCAUAUUGGGUGCCUGUCCAUCCGCCUAAAAAGCGGGUGUUAGCAAGGGCCGGGCAAGACCGGUGCCAGCCGCCGCGGUAAUACCGGCGGCUCGAGUGGUGGCCGAUAUUAUUGAGUCUAAAGGGUCCGUAGCCGGCUUUGCAAGUCUCUCGGGAAAUCCAGCGGCUUAACCGUUGGUCGUCCGGGGGGUACUACAUUGCUUGGGACUGGGAGAGGUAGGAGGUACUCAGGGGGUAGGAGUGAAAUCCUGUAAUCCUUUGGGGACCACCGGUGGCGAAGGCGUCCUACCAGAACAGGUCCGACGGUGAGGGACGAAAGCUAGGGGCACGAACCGGAUUAGAUACCCGGGUAGUCCUAGCCGUAAACGAUGCUCGCUAGGUGUCACAACAGUCGUGAACUGUUGUGGUNNNGUAGGGAAGCCGUGAAGCGAGCCACUUGGGAAGUACGACCGCAAGGUUGAAACUUAAAGGAAUUGGCGGGGGAGCGCA